rnacentral:lncRNA from 1 species
CCUUUUUAGAGACCCUGCUGCUAAUUGGAGGGACUCAAUUGCAUUUUUUUCUUCUCCUCACCCUCCUAAUCCAGAAGAAAUUCCAGCAGUGUGCAGGUACUUAAGUAAUACUAAUUUUGAUGGUAAUAAUUUCAAAUGUAUGUGGACUUUUUCAAUUGUUUAUGAUGUAAUAAUCAUGUAUUUGCAGAGAUAUAGUGGUUGAAUAUACAGAGAAAAUAAGGGCAUUAGGCUUAACAAUGUUUGAGCUAUUCUCAGAGGCUCUUGGCCUUCCUACAUCUUACCUGAAUGAAUUGGACUCUAUAGAGGGAGAAUUUCAUUUGUGUCACUACUAUCCACCAUGCCCUGAACCUGAAUUAACCAUGGGUACUUCAAAGCACACCGAUAUUAGCUUCAUGACAAUUCUUCUACAGGACCAUAUUGGUGGUCUUGAAGUUCUUCAUAAGAAUCAGUGGGUUAAUGUUCAUCCAGUGCAUGGAUCUCUUGUUAUAAAUAUUGGGGAUCUUCUACAAGUAAGAGUUGCAAACACAUGCAUAUCUUUUUUGAUUUUCCUUGAAGUGACUUGUCAGUCAAUCUCUCAAUUUUGUUCUCUUGUUGUUCCUUUAAAAUCCAACAUUUACAAUGGUAUAAUAUAGUCCAACAUGCAACAUAACAAAUGUUUUAUGUAUGAAGUCUUGGUGUUUCUGUCAGCUAUUGUUAUGAUUUAUCAAAGUAAAAAUCUAUAACAUAAGCAACUUUUAUGGUUAUAUUUUAUUUUUCUCUUUGUUGAUGUAGCUUUUGACAAAUGACAAGUUUAUCAGUGUGUAUCAUCGAGUCUUAUCAAGGGAUAUAGGACCCCGAAUUUCAGUAGCAAGCUUCUUUACAAGCUCAUUUCCACAUUACGCAUCAAAGAUUGUUGGUCCAAUAAAAGAAUUGUUAUCAAAAGACAAUCCACCAAUCUAUAAGGACACUACUAUAGAAGAUGUCGCAGCCCAUUAUCAUAAGAAAGGCCUUGACGGAAAUCGUUCCUUGCAUCCCUUUAGGUUGUGCAAUGAUUGAGAAUUCUAUUGGAGCAACUCUAGUUCUCUAAAAGCACAUUUGGUUGUAGUAUGUGUUUUAUCAUGGUUAGCUUGUGCCUAUGAUUAUCAUAUUUUAAGUAUCUUGUGAAUUUUAAAUAAACAAUUUCAAGCUCCAAAAAUAGAAUAAGGUUAAUUCACCCUUAAGUAUUUGUAUUUGUAUUGCACAAGAUGAAAUAAUCUUAUAGUUUCUGUAUUAUGAUAAUAUGACAUAAACUACUGAGUAUAUUAUUCUAGAUAUUAUUCUCAUAGUACUUAUAAACUUAUUUUGUUUUAUUUAGUAAUUAUGUCAACCUAAACGUUAAGAUAUCAAAUACAUUCAAAAAUUGUUUUAUUUAAUAGUUAAAUUUGUUGAUAAGUUUAAAUGAUAUGUGAUUUAGGAAUUUUCACAAACAUAUUGUCUCAUGGUUAUGGUAGAAAUGGUAGAAAAAUUGAAUAAAAAGAUGAAAUGAUACUUCAUAAAAGGUAAUUGACUCUUAUUUCAUGGAGAAAUAAUAAAGGAAACGUAUUACUUUAUAAAUUCAAAUCAAAAUACUUCCUUAAAAAUAAGCAUUCUAUAUAUUCAAUUUGCAUCAUCAUUGAUGUUACAUAUAUUUUAAUAUCCAUAAUUCUAUUUAAUACAUUUAAAUUAGAAAUCUUCAUAGAUUGUUAUCCUAAGUAAAGACAACACAAAAAGUUGUUUACUUUUGAAUAAUGAAUCUUGUGAUCUCAUAAUAUGUAAUCUAAAUAUAAUUUAGGUUAAACGUUGCAGUCAUGGAAAUUGGAUAGAGCAAUAUUUAUUUUUCAGUCAACAUUUCUUUUGUACCUUUGUCUCUGCUGAUGUAUAUGAUUCAAUCAUCUGGCCAGAAUUUCUAUUGGAGAGUCGGCAUCUUUGUCUUAAACAACUCUAAUCCAUCAAAAGAAACCUCACAUACACAUCUUAUUUAUGGUUGUCUUUGUCAAGUGGGUCUAUGAUGAAAACAGUAUGUCUUGCUAUCACUAAAUUAAACAUGGUUUUCUACUUUCUUUUCUCAUCACUUCUUCAUUAUCCAAUCUCCAUUUUCAUACCAAAUUCUCUUUUGUAAUCAAUCAUCAUCUUCUUCAUUACUCCUUUGCUGCACAAAGACAUCGAAGAAUCAUCUUCAUCCUUCCACAGAACAGAUUCAUCGUAUUCUUCAGGUAAGAGCACUGAAUUAUAAUAUAUAAUAUAGAAUCACAAAUUACAACAUAUAGACAGGAACUUUGUUCUCAUCCCUUUAAUUCACCAACACGCGAUUCUGUUACUCAUCUUCUUCAUCAUUCAUUUCUCCUUUCUUCUUUCUUCUUCAAUUCUUCAUUCCGAACAUAACAGAGGAGGAGGAGAAUCUCUUAAUUUUCUUCCUUCACUACGUUAAUUCAUAACUACUUGAGAAUAAUAUCCAGGACUUCAAUUUCCAGCACAAUCACUAAACACUUCAACCUCUUCUACAACACAAGAAACUUCAACUUUCCAAGUCUCAACCAACCCAUCAAGCACACCCUAACCUUUAUAUUUAACCUCCGGUGCUAUAAUUUUCCAUUCACCUAACACAAAAUCCUUCACCCAAUUUCUAACAAUUUCCACGCAUAGAACAAAGAGAGAGUAGAAGAUUGGAUAACAAUGGAAAAGUGUGGCAGUGAGACAGACUGUGAUGGAGACGCAUUAGAGCCCUCCGUCUUUGAUUUGUUGUGAACUUAAAAGGGUAGCAGAAACAGGUGGAACCACGCGCAGGUGAAUCGCAGUGACGGCGACUAUGGUUGUCGCCGUUGAUGCCUCUAAUCGUGGAAGUGACGCAGGAAUUCGUGAUUGGCCGUUUGGUGGUGUCGCCGGAGAUCUAGAGGAGGAGUUUCGCGUGUUGAACGGGGUAAAAAGCAAAGGUUCGUGCGACGAUGGCAGCAGCUCAAGCUCUGAUUGACGUCACCGGAUACACCCUGGCCGGCUGUGAGAAGCGCAACCAUGGUGGACCUGGAAGAAGGAGGAAAUCCAUGUCAGCGACGUUCGCAGCUCCGGUCACGGCGAGGUGAGGUUGCAGAGCCAUGUUUUCACGAUUUGCAGAUCUGAAAGAAGGAAGAGAUGCGGCGACGACGCCGGCAAGGUUUUCCGGAGGCGACUGGUGCCGCCGCCGAUGACUCUAGCGAACUGGGUAAGGCACGAUGGCUGCCCCUGGAAGCUGGUGUUGAGGUUUCGUGAGGCCAAAGGAAAUGGAAGUGGAGGUGCGCGAUGCCUCUUGCGACGGCGUGGCGAGCUUCGGUCAACGGCGUGGCAACGGCCAGGUGGAGGAGAUGCUAGGAAGAAAUGGUAAGCGGCUACCGGAGAGGUGGAGAUGUGUGGAAACCAAUAAAUAGAAAAGAGAGGUGGAAGAAGAAUGAACUUGGUGUAUUCUGUAUUUAGGCCAAGGAGUAAUAAUACAUUAUACACUUUAAUAUAAAGAUAAAAUAGUUCAAAAAAUAUAAAAUUUUAUAGUAAAAAGAGAAAAAAAUAAGUAUAAAUAAUAUCAAAUAAAUGAAAAAAAUUUAGACGUGUCAAAAAUAUCGUUUCUCUUACACAUCUUAUCUAAUGCUUCGCACUUCCAUAUGAGUGAGUCUUUUUUAUGUUUGUUACUGAUACAUAGUUGUUUAUACACAUCCAUAAUCUUAUUUUUAGUUUUACCCUUAAAAUUUUAAACAUUGAAGUGAAAAUAAUAAAAUAAUAAUAAUAAUAUUCAUCUUUUUCAGAAUUUGAUCGUUACACAUAGUAAUUGAGAUAGCAAGGAGUGUUUUGGACCAAUCAAAAUUUCAAACAAAGUCUUUAGUUGGAAAUAAGUCAAUAAGGUAAGAAGAACUUAUUAAUUUUUAUAAGUCCUAAAUAUUGAUAUGUUUUAUGAUUGUGAUUUGACUGGACUAAAUUAGUUAUUUAAUGAAAUGUUGUAAUGAUGAUAAAGAUAUUGAAAAUAUAUAUAUAUUUAUAUAUAUAUAUAUAUAUAUAUAUAUAUAUAUAUAUAUAUAUAUAUAUAUAUAUAUAUAUAUAUAUGGGUGUGUGUGAUAUUGAGAAUUUACUAAUUUCUUGUACUCGAAUGAGAUUUGGUUAUGAAAGUCGAAAGAAGUUUCAUAUGAGCAAGAUCAAUAUGAAAUGAUAUUGUGACUUAAAAGAUUAUAAGAAACUAAGUUUGUUAGAUGCUUUUAAGAUAUAUGUUUAGGUUGAAAUCUAUUACAAAGAGACUUUACAAGAAUCUACAUUUUUAGAAUUUGAGUAUUAUAUGUUUAUUUGUUUAAUGUUGAAAUAAUUAAUAUCUUAUUUGAAGUAGAAUUAUAUAAAAUUUAUGAUAGAACUUAUGAAAAUAAUUAAGCUUGCCCUUCAUUUCUUUUGUGGUGUAUUGAUAUCCACCUACAAAUCACGCAUGUGUAUUAUGUACGAGCAGAUAUCUUGGUAUAUAUAUAUAUAUAUAUAUAUAUAAGUGUAUUUAAGAGAUUCUCUUAGCAAUGUAAUAUUUAUAUAGAUUAACACUUAUGUACUGCUGGUUAUUAUUUUAGCAGAGACUCUAAUUAGUAGAAUUAUCUACUAAUUAGGUCGUUGUUACAAAUACUAAUUCCCUUUACGUUUGAUGGGAUUGGUAACGAGUUACCCAACCAUGUGCUAGCAAGUCCAUAUUUUAAAUAAAAAAGAAGUCCUCUAGAAAAGUAACAUGUGUCUAUUCAUUCAAUAAUAGGGGUUAUCACUGUCCCCUUCAUCUAAAUACUCUAUCUUUUAGUUAUUUCGUAUAUGUAACACAUGUAGUAAAACUUGUAUUUUAAACCAGUUUCUUGGUAUGGCGACCAUAAGCAAAAUUUUGUUAGAGGCAAAGAGUAGUAAGGAUUACUCCUAUGAUAGAAUAGCUGAAGUCAAGGCUUUUGAUGAAACAAAACUUGGGGUGAAAGGGUUGUUAGAUUCUGGGCUCACAAAGAUCCCGCGAAUGUUCUACAAUGACAAGGUGAAGGACAACACUGAAACCACACCAACUGACUUAAAGUUUAAUGUCCCCAUCAUAGACCUGAAAGACAUAGACACAAACUCAUACCUGCGUGUUGAAACACUUGACAAGAUUAGAAGGGCAUGCAAGGAAUGGGGAUUUUUCCAAGUACUGAAUCAUGGUAUUGAUGUUGAGGUUUUAGAGGAGAUGUUAUGUGGAAUUCGAAGGUUUCAUGAACUAGAUGCUGAGGUGAGGAAAACCUUUUACUCAAGGGAUCAAAGUAAGAAAGUUAGAUAUUUCUCCAAUGGUAGCCUUUUUAGAGACCCUGCUGCUGACUGGAGGGACACGUUAGCGUUCUUUUCUUCUCCUCACGCUCCUAAUCCAGAAGAAAUACCAGCAGUGUGCAGGUACUUAUACAAUACUAAUUUUGAUUAUAAUAAUUUCAAUAUAAAAAAGGUAUGUGUACUUUUUCAAUUGUCUAUGAUGUAAUAAUUAUGUAUUUGCAGAGAUAUUGUGGUUGAAUAUACAGAGAAAAUAAGGGCAUUAGGCUUAACAAUGUUUGAGCUAUUCUCAGAGGCUCUUGGCCUUCCUACAUCUUACUUGAAUGAAUUGGACUCUGUAAAAGGAGGAUUUCAUUUGUGUCACUACUAUCCAUCAUGCCCUGAACCUGAAUUAACUAUGGGUGCUUCAAAGCACACUGAUAUUAGCUUCAUGACAAUUCUUCUACAAGACCAGAUUGGUGGUCUUCAAGUUCUUCAUGAGAAUCAGUGGGUUGAUGUUCAUCCAGUGCAUGGAUCACUUGUUAUAAACAUUGGGGAUCUUCUUCAGGUAAGAAAUGUAAAC